CUAUAGCAAAGGCAGCCAAACCUGAGGCUGCUGAGAAGCGUUUGGAUGAGAGAGAUUAUGUUGUGAAUAUUAGUUAAUCCAAAAAAUAAAAUGUCUUAUCACUUAACCUUUAUUUAGUUUCUUAUCCAUAUGACUCACAAAAAUAUAUUUUAGGUAACGAAAUAAUCAAAUGGACAAUAAGAGAUUUUCUCUGCCAUCUUAUUUUGUGUGCCAAAUAUAUUUAUUUGUAUAAAUGAAUUGGAUAACUGUAAUUAAAUAAUAUGACUUUCAAAAGCUGAAGUGAUUACCUUAAUUUAUUUGUUAAAAUAAGUAUAACUCAAUAUUUUAACUAACUGGAAAAGUGGAAUAAUCAAUAAAUGUC